rnacentral:rRNA from 1 species
UACGAAGGGGACUAGCGUUGUUCGGAAUCACUGGGCGUAAAGCGCACGUAGGCGGAUAUGUAAGUCAGUGGUGAAAUCUCCGGGCUUAACCCGGAAACUGCCGUUGAUACUAUAUAUCUUGAAUGCUGUGGAGGUAAGCAGAAUAUGUCAUGUAGCGGUGAAAUGCUUAGAGAUGACAUAGAAUACCUAUUGCGAAGGCAGCUUACUACGCAGAUAUUGACGCUCAUGCACGAAAGCGUGGGGAUCAAACAGG